GAUUGGCGAAACCUGSAAAAGGAGAACGACCAGAGAC
rnacentral:rRNA from 1 species